rnacentral:rRNA from 1 species
UAGUCCACGCCGUAAACGAUGGAUACUAGCUGUAUGUCUACUUCAGGUAGAUGUGUGGCUAAGCGAAAGUGAUAAGUAUCCCACCUGGGGAGUACGAUCGCAAGAUUGAAACUCAAAUGAAUUGACGGGGGCCCGCACAAGCGGUGGAGCAUGUGGUUUAAUUCGAUGAUACGCGAGGAACCUUACCAGGGCUUAAAUGUACGUUGCAUGAUUUAGAGAUAGAUCUUUCUUCGGACUACGUACAAGGUGCUGCAUGGUUGUCGUCAGCUCGUGCCGUGAGGUGUCAGGUUAAGUCCUAUAACGAGCGCAACCCCUAUCGUUAGUUGCCAACAGGUUAAGCUGGGAACUCUAACGAGACUGCCUGUGACAAACCGCGAGGAAGGUGGGGAUGACGUCAAAUCAUCACGGCCCUUACGUCCUGGGCCACACACGUGCUACAAUGGCCGGUACAGAGAGCACGCCACUCCGCGAGGAGGAGCGAAUCUAAUAAAACCGGUCUC